rnacentral:rRNA from 1 species
UACGAAGGGUGCAACCGUUGCUCGGAAUUAUUGGGCGUAAAGCGCACGUAGGCGGCUCGGAAAGUCUGGUGUGAAAUCUUGAGGCUCAACCUCAAGCGGUCACUGGAUACUGUCGAACUUGAGUCCGGAAGAGGAGAGUGGAAUUCCUGGUGUAGCGGUGGAAUGCGCAGAUAUCAGGAGGAACACCGAUGGCGAAGGCAGCUCUCUGGUACGUGACUGACGCUGAGACGCGAAAGCGUGGGGAGCGAACAGG